UACGUAGGGUGCGAGCGUUGUCCGGAAUUACUGGGCGUAAAGAGCUCGUAGGUGGUUUGUCGCGUUGUUCGUGAAAACUCACAGCUUAACUGUGGGCGUGCGGGCGAUACGGGCAGACUGGAGUACUGCAGGGGAGACUGGAAUUCCUGGUGUAGCGGUGGAAUGCGCAGAUAUCAGGAGGAACACCGGUGGCGAAGGCGGGUCUCUGGGCAGUAACUGACGCUGAGGAGCGAAAGCGUGGGGGAGCAAACAGG
rnacentral:rRNA from 1 species